rnacentral:piRNA from 1 species
UUGACUCAGAGUUUGAGGGUAAAGUCCAUC